rnacentral:rRNA from 1 species
CUGUUCCUAGUUGCCAGCGAGUAAAGUCGGGGACUCUAGGGAGACUGCCGGUGCCAAACCGGAGGAAGGUGGGGACGACGUCAAGUCAUCAUGGUCCUUACGUCUAGGGCUACACACGUGCUACAAUGGCGGGGACAGAGGGUUGCGAGCCGGCAACGCAAAGCCAAUCCCGUAAACCCCGCCUCAGUUCGGAUUGUCGUCUGCAACCCGACGGCAUGAAGCUGGAAUCGCUAGUAAUCGUGGAUCAGCUACGCCACGGUGAAUACGUUCCCGGGCCUU